rnacentral:rRNA from 1 species
GUGGGGAAUAUUGGACAAUGGGCGCAAGCCUGAUCCAGCAAUGCCGCGUGGGUGAAGAAGGUCUUCGGAUCGUAAAGCCCUUUCGACAGGGACGAUGAUGACGGUACCUGUAGAAGAAGCCCCGGCUAACUUCGUGCCAGCAGCCGCGGUAAUACGAAGGGGGCUAGCGUUACUCGGAAUUACUGGGCGUAAAGGGCGCGUAGGCGGCUCUGUUAGUCAGGCGUGAAAUUCCUGGGCUUAACCUGGGGACUGCGCUUGAUACUGCAGGGCUUGGGGCCGAGAAAGGGUGGUGGAAUUCCCAGUGUAGAGGUGAAAUUCGUAGAUAUUGGGAAGAACACCGGUGGCGAAGGCGACCACCUGGCUCGGUUCUGACGCUGAGGCGCGACAGCGUGGGGAGCAAACAGGAUUAGAAACCCCUGUAGUCC